rnacentral:rRNA from 1 species
GAAAAACUCCGGUGGUGUGAGAUGGACCCGCGUCUGAUUAGCCAGUUGGCGGGGUAACGGCCCACCAAAGCGACGAUCAGUAGCCGGCCUGAGAGGGUGAACGGCCACAUUGGGACUGAGACACGGCCCAAACUCCUACGGGAGGCAGCAGUGGGGAAUAUUGCACAAUGGGGGAAACCCUGAUGCAGCGACGCCGCGUGAGUGAAGAAGUAUUUCGGUAUGUAAAGCUCUAUCAGCAGGGAAGAAAGUGACGGUACCUGAAUAAGAAGCCCCGGCUAACUACGUGCCAGCAGCCGCGGUAAUACGUAGGGGGCAAGCGUUAUCCGGAUUUACUGGGUGUAAAGGGAGCGUAGACGGCAAGGCAAGUCUGAAGUGAAAGCCCGGUGCUUAACGCCGGGACUGCUUUGGAAACUGUUUAGCUGGAGUGCCGGAGAGGUAAGCGGAAUUCCUAGUGUAGCGGUGAAAUGCGUAGAUAUUAGGAAGAACACCAGUGGCGAAGGCGGCUUACUGGACGGUAACUGACGUUGAGGCUCGAAAGCGUGGGGAGCAAACAGGAUUAGAUACCCUGGUAGUCCACGCCGUAAACGAUGAUUGCUAGGUGUAGGUGGGUAUGGACCCAUCGGUGCCGCAGCUAACGCAAUAAGCAAUCCACCUGGGG